rnacentral:rRNA from 1 species
CCCGUAACUUCGGGAGAAGGGGCGCUGACUUAUGGUCAGCCGCAGUGAAUAGGCCCGCGGCGCAUUAGCUAGUUGGUGGGGUAAUGGCCUACCAAGGCGACGAUGCGUAGCCGACCUGAGAGGACGAUCAGCCACACUGGGACUGAGACACGGCCCAGACUCCUACGGGAGGCAGCAGUGGGGUAAUUUUCCGCAAUGGGCGAAAGCCUGACGGAGCAAGACCGCGUGGGGAAGAAGGCUCUUGGGUUGUAAAC